GGAUGUGAGGGCAAUCUGGCUGCGACAUCUAUUACUCCGUUGAUCGCCAGGGUUGAUUCGGCUGAUCUGGCUGGGUAGGCGGGUGUCUCCUGCCUCCUUCAGCGAUCCAUGUGUGUCCCUCCCGAAACUGCACGCUCAGUGAAAGAGGAAGACCACCCCCGAUAGAGGAGGACCAUUCCUCGCUCAAGGGUAUAGAGUAGCUGCGCUCCCCUCCCAGAACUUCCAAACAAGCUCUCAAGAAUUUGCUUCUAGGGCCAGAGAGAUAGCUCAGCAGACUAAGCACCUGCUU
rnacentral:snRNA from 1 species